UACGUAGGGGGCAAGCGUUGUCCGGAAUCAUUGGGCGUAAAGAGCGUGUAGGCGGCUCGGUAAGUCCGUUCUGAAAGCCCGGGGCUCAACCCCGGGAGGCGGAUGGAUACUGCAAGGCUCGAGUCCGGAAGAGGCGAGUGGAAUUCCCGGUGUAGCGGUGAAAUGCGCAGAUAUCGGGAGGAACACCAAUGGCGAAGGCAGCUCGCUGGGACGGUACUGACGCUGAGACGCGAAAGCGUGGGGAGCAAACAGG
rnacentral:rRNA from 1 species